UUAGAUCCUUGUCACUGAUUGAAUUGGC
rnacentral:sRNA from 1 species